rnacentral:rRNA from 1 species
ACUCCUACGGGAGGCAGCAGUGGGGAAUAUUGCACAAUGGGCGCAAGCCUGAUGCAGCCAUGCCGCGUGUAUGAAGAAGGCCUUCGGGUUGUAAAGUACUUUCAGCAGUGAGGAAGGUGGGUAUGUUAAUAGCAUACUCAUUUGACGUUAGCUGCAGAAGAAGCACCGGCUAACUCCGUGCCAGCAGCCGCGGUAAUACGGAGGGUGCGAGCGUUAAUCGGAAUUACUGGGCGUAAAGCGCAUGCAGGUGGUUUGUUAAGUCAGAUGUGAAAGCCCGGGGCUCAACCUCGGAAUUGCAUUUGAAACUGGCAAACUAGAGUACUGUAGAGGGGGGUAGAAUUUCAGGUGUAGCGGUGAAAUGCGUAGAGAUNUGAAGGAAUACCGGUAGGCGAAAGGCGGCCCCCCUGGAACAGAUACUGACAAUCAGAUAGCGAAAGCGUGGGGAAGCAAACAGGAUUAGAUACCCUGGUAGGCCUGCG